AGUAUCAGAGGCAGUAGUGGCUUUCUCUUAAACGCUUAUAAAUAAAAUGUCUAACACUGGAAGGUUAAAUAUGGACGCUCUAAGGCCGCCUUAAUCAAAUGGAUGUAGAUUGUGGCCUUCAUUAUGAAUGAAUCCUGAAGGAAUCUCCAUCUUGGAUCCUGUAUCAGUGACUGAAGUGAGUCUGAAGGCUCUUCUCUCUGCAGGUAACUGCCGCCUAGAGGCUAUGCUCAGACCAGAUCGACUUCGGAUUAAUGCGAGGUGAUUGAGGAGGAACAUUUAGUGAUCCUCUGGAGGGGGAUGGAACUUGAACCAGAGGUGGAGCUUUCUGGGAGGAGGUGGUCAUGACUUGAGUGAUCCUCAUUGCUCAGAGCUCCCCCCCCCCCCCCCCAAAGUGCAGAUACGUGAUGCUCUGCUGUGCUGUCACCUUACACCCCUCCAAAAAAGGAAAUCCAUACCAUAAAUUGAACAAUGCAGAAUACUUUACACCAAUCUCAUUCCCCUCUGAAAGAGUAACUACAUGUACAUUACAAUAUCUUCCUAUUUUUAUAUACAAGUCAGGACUAUCCUGGUACUCAACCCAGAAGUGGAAAAGGGCUUGUGUGCAUGGACUGCUAUUCAUAAAUGUUCAAGGCACUGUUGCGUGACUGAUUCUGGAACUGGAAAAUGGUGUGCUAUAUUCAAUACUAUGCAUUGUUGUGCAAUAAAACUAAACUUGUCUGAA